UACGAAGGUGGCUAGCGUUGUUCGGUGUCACUGGGCUUAAAGCGCUCGUAGGCGGAACCGUAAGUGUCUUGUGAAAUCCCCCGGCUCAACCGGGGAAUGGCUGGGCAUACUGCGGUUCUUGAGGCAAACAGGGGUGCAUGGAACUCUUGGUGGAGCGGUGGAAUGCGUAGAUAUCGAGAGGAACGCCGAUGGUGAAGACAAUGCACUGGGUUUGUCCUGACGCUGAGGAGCGAAAGCGUGGGGAGCAAACAGGAUUAGAUACCCUGGGAGUCCACGCCCUAAACGAUGUUUACUAGGUUGUAGAGGAUCUGACGCCUUUACAGUCGGAGCAAAAGUGUUAAGUAAACCGCCUGGGGAGUACGGUCGCAAGGCUAAA
rnacentral:rRNA from 1 species